rnacentral:rRNA from 1 species
AGAGUUUGAUCCUGGCUCAGAUUGAACGCUGGCGGCAUGCUUUACACAUGCAAGUCGAGCGGCAGCGCGGGGGCAACCCUGGCGGCGAGCGGCGAACGGGUGAGUAAUACAUCGGAACGUGUCCCGUAGUGGGGGAUAACCCGGCGAAAGCCGGACUAAUACCGCAUAUGCUCUACGGAGGAAAGUGGGGGACCCGCAAGGGCCUCAUGCUAUGGGAGCGGCCGAUGUCCGAUUAGCUUGUUGGUGAGGUAACGGCUUACCAAGGCGACGAUCGGUAGCUGGUCUGAGAGGAUGAUCAGCCACACUGGGACUGAGACACGGCCCAGACUCCUACGGGAGGCAGCAGUGGGGAAUUUUGGACAAUGGGGGCAACCCUGAUCCAGCCAUGCCGCGUGCGGGAAGAAGGCCUUCGGGUUGUAAACCGCUUUUGUCCGGAAAGAAAAGGCCACUCCUAAUACGGGUGGUUCUUGACGGUACCGGAAGAAUAAGCACCGGCUAAC